ACUGUCAGCGACGUCGGAACUAUCUUGGUGGUCGCUAAAGUCGUAGCUGUAGUCGUGUUCGGGUCCGGGGAGGGGCUCUGAGCCGCGGUUACCACCAGGACGCAGCUGGGCUGUUCCAGUUCCUGCAGUAGACUAAGCGCUCCGACCCUGGCUUGAAUGGAACAACCUACAUGAGGUGGCGCUCGGCGUCCACCCGAGCGACCAGCGAGGCUGUAAAUCCGUGAUCCCACGUGACUUUCUGGGCCUCGAUUCCGUGACCUGUGUCCCCCGGGCGUUGGUUUCCGUUGGGUGCACUUAGGAACGGGACGUGAAUUAAGUUUGCGGUGUGUUCCCUCAUUCCGAGGGUGCUUCAACAGAACUUUAGUGGGACCCGCGCUUCUUUCCUUUGAAAAUUGGUUUUUCUGAAAGUAACCCCGUGUUGGGAUCCCCCAGGGAAAUGAAGAAACCACGUGGUUGAGUUUCUGCUCUGCCGCCCACCUAGGGUGAGCGGCUAAAACACCGAAAGCAGCCUCCUGCCUUCGAGCCAGAGCCGAGCACCGUCUACCUCUUUCACACUUGCCCAACCUGCCUUUUACGAAUUUUUUUUAUUCCGGCCUUUGGUUGCGGAAGCCAGUCAACGCCACCACUACACAGAGAGUCAAAGACAAGCUGGGUUAGAAAUGCAUCUGGUCCAUUCCCACCCCACUUUACAGGUGAGGAAACUGAGACUCAGAAAAAGUGACUUGACUGGAACAUGGUGCUUGACAACAGGGCUGAAUUUCGAAAUGCCUGUUAACAGUCUGUCACUGCUCAGGCUUUUAGAAGGGUGAGCGCCAUCUGAUGCCCAGUCUCACAAAAUACUCACAAUUGCAGCUAUGCUUAUAUUGAAUAGUAAAAAAAUUGGGCUAUAAAAGGUAUUUUUAAUGCAAUCUGCUUUCAGUUAUUUGCGUUUAUCGUGCAAGUUUCAUUAUGCACAUUUACUCUAAUAAAAUAACACGAACAUUA